rnacentral:tRNA from 1 species
GGAAGAUCGUCAUCUCCGGUGAGGUGGCUGGACUUCAAAUCCGGUUGGGGCCGCCAGCGGUCCCGGGCAGGUUCAACUCCUGUGAUCUUCCGCCA